GGUGGGUUGGCCCAGCGGCGACGGCAGGAGCCUGUAAAUCUCCGACACUGACACAUCGCGGGUUCGAGUCCCGCACCCACCACGA
rnacentral:tRNA from 1 species